UGAGACGAAGAAGACGAAGAAGAAGAAGAGA
rnacentral:sRNA from 1 species